UAAAAAACAAGUUUUCCCAACUUUCAUAUGUGUAUAAAGGACACAAUAAUUGAGAAUAUAAGCAGUGCCAACAAGAAACACAUAUUUUAUUAAAAUAAACUCACCAAGAUAAUAAGUUCUCAUGAUUGUAUCUUGAAUGGUUAAAGUCUGAUCUGUUGGAUGUAAAUAACUAUCCUAAAUUGUAGAAGUAUUCCAGAAAAAAAACAUUUUUUGAAAAAUCAAAUGUGCAAUAUUAAUG
rnacentral:lncRNA from 1 species